rnacentral:rRNA from 1 species
UACGUAGGGGGCUAGCGUUAUCCGGAGUUACUGGGCGUAAAGGGUGCGUAGGUGGUUUCUUAAGUCAGAGGUGAAAGGCUACGGCUCAACCGUAGUAAGCCUUUGAAACUGGGGAACUUGAGUGCAGGAGAGGAGAGUGGAAUUCCUAGUGUAGCGGUGAAAUGCGUAGAUAUUAGGAGGAACACCAGUUGCGAAGGCGGCUCUCUGGACUGUAACUGACACUGAGGCACGAAAGCGUGGGGAGCAAACAGG